rnacentral:ncRNA from 1 species
UUGAUAGAGGUUGCGUUUUUCAUAAGUAAAAGACCGGAUGUGACAGGCACAGAGGAAGGCUUUUGAAAGGGGAAAACGCCGAAAGGAAAAAGAACCUGGAGCUUUUUUGCUUGGGCAUACAGUUAAGAGCUGUAUGACUGUCAUCGAAACAGAUGGGGCGCUAUCAGU